UGGGGAAUAUUGGACAAUGGGGGCAACCCUGAUCCAGCCAUGCCGCGUGUGUGAAGAAGGCCUUCGGGUUGUAAAGCUCUUUUAGUCGGAAAGAAAGAGUUGCAAUGAAUAAUUGUGAUUUAUGACGGUACCGACAGAAAAAGCACCGGCUAACUACGUGCCAGCAGCCGCGGUAAUACGUAGGGUGCGAGCGUUAAUCGGAAUUACUGGGCGUAAAGGGUGCGCAGGCGGUCUUGCAAGUCAGAUGUGAAAGCCCCGGGCUUAACCUGGGAAUUGCGUUUGAAACUACAAGGCUAGAGUGCAGCAGAGGGGAGUGGAAUUCCAUGUGUAGCAGUGAAAUGCGUAGAGAUGUGGAAGAACGCCGAUGGCGAAGGCAGCUCCCUGGGUUGACACUGACGCUCAUGCACGAAAGCGUGGGGAGCAAACA
rnacentral:rRNA from 1 species